GCUGAAAGUAAAGAGCAUAAACUCAGCAGAUCAUUCUGGAUAGAGCAGACUUAAAGUAGUAAAGUAACUACUAUCAUACAUCACACAAGGUACUAGUCUACCAGUAACAAGUCAGCACUCAUUGAAUUGAGUGAAAAUAGUUUGAGAAGUUCAAGAUAUAAUCCUAGAAGAAGAUGCAUUUAAUUCUUCCAUUAAUUUAAAAUCAUAUGAGAAGUGCAGAG
rnacentral:misc_RNA from 1 species